CAAAAGCCGGCUUGUUCCUCAUGACUAUAAAGAAAGUAUAUAUGCUUAUAUCGCGAUUUAACCUCGAUAAUUAUACUUAGAUAGUAAGAUAGUAAUAUUCAGUCAAGUAACAACUUUUCCAUUACGACGGGUAUCUCCGGAGAGUUAAGACAAUCGUAUCAUAUUCAAUGUUAUUGUUCUAAGAUUUUCGAUCUUCGUCGGAGUAAAGAAACUUCAAAGUUCCCUUGUCUUAUAAAAAUAUUUGUUCAAUCAAAGAAAAGCAAUACUCCCGAUGGCCGGCUGUCCGGAGUUUAAGUUGCAUAUCUUUAAGCCUAGAAUUCCCAAAUUAAUACAACAAACGAUAAAUCUUCUUGAAAUUCUCGGCAGCCGGCUGCCCAGAGCAAUUAUUAACUUAUAACGCUUCUGAGAGUCGCAUAGAUUGUAUCACAUACCAAGGUGAAUCCAGAUUUAUGUAACUAUGUAUCCCAUCCCACUAACAAAACCUCCUUUCCGUGGUAACCGUGGAGAUGCAGAGGUAUACACGGUCUCUAUAACAACGGUUAUCACACUAACAUUCCCUUCCUUCCCCGAUGACUGUAAGGACGUGGCCGGCGCCGUUAUUGACACUUAAAAAUUUGAAACUCUCGAAACGUGCACACUGAGGAUGGGAAGCUACUCCCAGGCUCCAUUCGUUGGUUCUUUGUGCAAUUUCGCUUGUUCUGGUCAAUCACGGAGUAGCAACUACGAAUUGUACGGUCAUCAUGCUCAUGCUCAUGCUCAUAAAACGACAUAAAGAAAACAAAUAAACAAAGAUUACAGAAAAACUAUCAAUAGGUUUACAAUGAAAUUCAAGAAAAUAGAGUAUAAUUAAAAACAUUCAAAAUGAUGAUUAUCCUCAGUGUUAGCAUUAGAAAGUGAUUUUUUUUAUAACGUGAUAGUCUUAAGAACCUUUGUAACAUGUUAUGUAAACAAAAACCCCGGCGUAAAAAAGCUUUUGCAAAUGCCGUGUCAAUUAAACGUUUUAUGAAAAAAAAACAAAAUAAUCCAACUUUGUUGAACUUUGCAGGAAUCGUUCCAUCUCAUUCUUUGCAGAGCGAGCCCAUUCAAAUUCCUGCUCUGAUAAGUCAGGGAAUCGUUCCAUCUCGUUCUUUGCAGAGCGAGCCCAUUCAAAUUCCUGCACUAAUAAGUCAGGAAAUUAACCCAUCGUGUCAAACACAAGAUGAGACAGGUUUUGCGAGAGCUGAUCGCGAAAGGUUCAUUGAUAAUGAAUUCGGGGUUGCAUGUAGCGUGUGUGAUAGACUUUGGUUCACCAACGAUCUGAAGUCAAUCACAGAGCAAGGAAGGAGAGUGCUGUUGGAGGCUGCAGACUUUGAGUCAGUUGCGGGAUUCAAGUUAUGCAAGACCUGUCGCAGCAGUUUGCAGCGAUGUACAGUACCAAAUCUGUCCACGUCGAACGGAUUCAAGUACCCAAGCUGUCCACCAGAUCUUCCGCCCUUGGAUCCGAUUAGCGAAAGGCUGAUUUCACCACGACUGCCGUUUAUGCAGAUUCGUCGUCUGCGCCAGGCACAAGGUGUGUUAUAAGGAUGCGCUUUGGCACUUUUUCUUUUUUAUGAAAUAUUAUUCGAAAUUGUAGGCAGUUACACCAUCAAUGAGCAGGUCAUCAAUGUUCCAGUAGAUGUAGAUGAGAUGGUUCGGGUGCUUCCUCGUCAGUUUGAAGACGAUUACGCUUUUAAUGUAUCAAUUAAAAAACAUCAAAUACCUAAAUCAAAUUACUUGUCUGGAUUCGUCAAGAAGUCGGUCGUGAAGGCUUUAAGCCAAGUCUUUAGUCACCACACCAUUAUAUAAACGGGAAGGAAUAUCUCUGUGCGAGGAUCGACUAACAGCUUUUGGUGCGGACCAACAAUCUAGUUCAUCUCAAGAAAUGAGUAUGAUAGAAUUGGAGGUCAUUGAAGCAACCAACGAUGUCUAGUUGUUUGCUGGUCAGCAACAAACGCUGUUAUGGAAUGAAGAUAAAUGUCUGGAAAUUGCUCCGGCUCAAAACAAGAGGCCGAUGUCGAUUGUUUACGAUGAAAACGCUGAAGAGCUGUCUUUUCCAGAUAUCUAUUUGGGAUAUCCAAGAAAAUUCAAAGCUGGCGUUCACGUAAUACCCUUCAUGAAGGCCACCAGUAAGCUGAGACGGAGUGAUAGACGUGGAGCAAAGCCGAAUCACUUACUGUAUAUGGCUAUGAAAAUUCUCCGUCUUCGAGUUACUGAGGGAUUGCAGCAUACCUACAAAUGUAUGGGAACUGCAAACAUAACGCGAGCCCAGCUGAGCGACAAAAGUUUCUUGGAGAAUCUCAUGGAACGAAAUCUGUCGUUUAUGAAAUCGAUUCCAAACUCAGUGCAGUAUUGGUAUCGACGUAAACAGGACCUUUUAGCCAUGAUUCGACAGCUGGGCAACCCAACAAUGUUUCUGACGCUAAGCGUGAGCGAAACUCAAUGGCCACUAUUGUUCAAACAGCUGCACAAGCUCUCAAAUCAUUAUAACGGCAUCGAUUUAACUGAACCAUUGCAUGAGUUGAAUGCUUAUCAGCGAGCGACACUGGUCAACGACGACCCAACCACUUGUUGUUUAUUCUUCAAUAAACUCGUUGAUGUCAUAAUGCAUAUUCUAUC